rnacentral:rRNA from 1 species
AACCAGCACCUCAAGUGGUCAGGAUGAUUAUUGGGCCUAAAGCAUCCGUAGCCGGCUCUAUAAGUUUUCGGUUGAAUCUGUACGCUUAACGUACAGGCUGCCGGGAAUACUGCGGAGCUAGGGAGUGGGAGAGGUAGACGGUACUCGGUAGGAAGGGGUAAAAUCCUUUGAUCUAUUGAUGACCACCUGUGGCGAAGGCGGUCUACCAGAACACGUCCGACGGUGAGGGAUGAAAGCUGGGGGAGCAAACCGGAUUAGAUACCCGGGUAGUCCCAGCUGUAAACCAUGCAAACUCAGUGAUGCAUUGGCUUGUGGCCAAUGCAGUGCUGCAGGGAAGCCGUUAAGUUUGCCGCCUGGGAAGUACGUACGCAAGUAUGAAAACUUAAGGAGUUGGCGGGGAGCACCGACAAGGGGUGAAGCCUGCGGUUC